rnacentral:ncRNA from 1 species
UGAAUGUGGCAGUACACCUGUCAAACAGUAACGCAGGUGUCCUAAGGCAAGCUCAGAGAGGACAGAAACCUCCCAUGGAACAGAAGGGCAGAAGCUCACUUGAUCUUGAUUUUCAGUACGAAUACAGACCGUGAAAGCAGGGCCUCACUAUCCUUUUAAAAAAAAAAAAAAAUUUUAAUUUAAAAA